rnacentral:rRNA from 1 species
GAUGAACGCUGGCGGCGUGCCUAAUACAUGCAAGUAGAACGCUGAAGCUUGGUGCUUGCACCGAGCGGAUGAGUUGCGAACGGGUGAGUAACGCGUAGGUAACCUGCCUCUUAGCGGGGGAUAACUAUUGGAAACGAUAGCUAAUACCGCAUAAAAGUCGAUAUCGCAUGAUAUUGAUUUGAAAGGUGCAAAUGCAUCACUAAGAGAUGGACCUGCGUUGUAUUAGCUAGUUGGUGAGGUAACGGCUCACCAAGGCGACGAUACAUAGCCGACCUGAGAGGGUGAUCGGCCACACUGGGACUGAGACACGGCCCAGGCUCCUACGGGAGGCAGCAGUAGGGAAUCUUCGGCAAUGGGGGCAACCCUGACCGAGCAACGCCGCGUGAGUGAAGAAGGUUGUCGGAUCGUAAAGCUCUGUUGUAAGAGAAGAACGAGUGUGAGAGUGGAAAGUUCACACUGUGACGGUAACUUACCAGAAAGGGACGGCUAACUACGUG